rnacentral:rRNA from 1 species
UGGGGAAUAUUGCACAAUGGAGGGAACUCUGAUGCAGCGACGCCGCGUGAACGAAGAAGGCUUUCGAGUCGUAAAGUUCUUUUAUAUGGGAAGAUAAUGACGGUACCAUAAGAAAAAGCCCCGGCUAACUACGUGCCAGCAGCCGCGGUAAUACGUAGGGGGCUAGCGUUGUCCGGAAUCACUGGGCGUAAAGGGUUCGCAGGCGGAAAUGCAAGUCAGGUGUAAAAGGCAGUAGCUUAACUACUGUAAGCAUUUGAAACUGCAUAUCUUGAGAAGAUUAGAGGUAAGUGGAAUUUUUAGUGUAGCGGUGAAAUGCGUAGAUAUUAAAAAGGAUACCGGUGGCGAAGGCGAGUUACUGGGCUCAUUCUGACGCUGAGGAACGAUAGCGUGGGUAGCAAACAGG